UACGUAGGGUGCAAGCGUUGUCCGGAAUUAUUGGGCGUAAAGAGCUCGUAGGCGGUUUGUCGCGUCUGCUGUGAAAACGCGAGGCUCAACCUCGCGCCUGCAGUGGGUACGGGCAGACUAGAGUGCGGUAGGGGAGAUUGGAAUCCUGGUGUAGCGGUGGAAUGCGCAGAUAUCAGGAGGAACACCGAUGGCGAAGGCAGAUCUCUGGGCCGUAACCUGACGCUGAGGAGCGAAAGCGUGGGGAGCGAACAGG
rnacentral:rRNA from 1 species